GAUGAACGCUAGCGGGAGGCUUAACACAUGCAAGUCGAGGGGUAUUGUAGCAAUACAUUAGACCGGCGCACGGGUGAGUAACGCGUAUGCAACCUGCCGUUAACCGGGGGAUAGCCCGUCGAAAGGCGGAUUAAUACCCCAUAAUAUUGGGAUUCUGCAUGGGAUUUCAAUUAAAGCUGAGGUGGUUAACGAUGGGCAUGCGUGACAUUAGCUAGUUGGUAGGGUAACGGCCUACCAAGGCUACGAUGUCUAGGGGUUCUGAGAGGAAGGUCCCCACACUGGUACUGAGACACGGACCAGACUCCUACGGGAGGCAGCAGUGAGGAAUAUUGGUCAAUGGGCGAGAGCCUGAACCAGCCAUCCCGCGUGCAGGAAGACGGCCCUAUGGGUUGUAAACUGCUUUUGCGCAUGAAGAAUGUUACCGACGUGUCGGUAAGUGACGGUAAUGCGUGAAUAAGCAUCGGCUAACUCCGUGCCAGCAGCCGCGGUAAAAGUGUGUGUACG
rnacentral:rRNA from 1 species